UGUAGUGUGGUGUAGUGGCUUGAGUAUUAGACUACAACUCUGGAGAGCAGGGUUCAAUUCCCUGCUUGGUCA
rnacentral:tRNA from 1 species